UUUCCGUAGGUGAACCUGCGGAAGGAUCAUUAAAGAGUAAGGGUCUCUGGCCCGAACCUCCAACCCUCUGUUGUUAUAACUACUUCGUUGCUUUGGCGGGACCGCGAAGGUUCUCCCGAGCGCGCCAGUCUCCGGACAGGCGAGCGCCCGCCAGAGUCUAACCAAACUCUUGUUUUAAACCAGUCGUCUGAGUAUAAAAUUUUAAUUAAAUUAAAACUUUCAACAACGGAUCUCUUGGUUCAC
rnacentral:misc_RNA from 1 species